rnacentral:ribozyme from 1 species
GAAAGAAAGAAAGAAAGAAAGAAAGAAAGAAAAACAACUGACGAUCCUUUGUUGUUGUUUGGUCCACUCCCUGUUUUCUUCUUCUUCUGUUCCGUCCCCUCUUUUUUUUUCUUUUUUUUUCUUUGAACUCCUGUCAGUUUU